ensembl:lncRNA novel transcript
AGAAGCCAGACUGAGAAAGAAAAGCAUAAAGGACACGCAACAGCAUGAUGCCUGAGCAAGGAAUGUGGAUGGAGAAGGGAAUAUUGGACAAGGUCAGGACCGCCACUUCUAGAGAAAUGUGAUACCGGGACAAGAUAUGACUAAAAAUGUCUGCAGAGCAGCAGAGAGUGCCUACCUCAAGUAGAAGUAUGAUAGUUGAACUUUAUUGUGCUCUAGAAAAAGCAAUAAACCCUUCUGCAAACUUCAUAAGAUAGCACAGUAAAAGGAACUCUACACCAAGAGGACAUUUUCCCUUCAAAAUAACAAAGCAGAACACAAAGUAAAUCAAAGCAUAUAAACGGAGAAAGGAAUUCCGUUGCCUUUGAAAUUGAACUCCAGAAAUAAUUUACUUAAAAAGAGUUCCUCAGAUAUAGCUUGAAGUCUAAAGACAAUCAUUGAUCAUCAACUGGUAUUCUCUUACUCCAUCAGCACUCCAGAUACAAAGCAAGAGAAAACCCAGAGUAAAAAAUUUAAAUGGACAAUAUUUCAUCUGCAACCUGGAAAGUCUUCUAUGCUUGCUGUUGUAUUGACUUUCCUACUUAUCUCAGAAAAUUGUGCAUUUAAUCAUCUCUCUCUAUUUUCUUUGACUCUUUUCCAGUGAGAGAGUAUAAGAUUGUUUACCUAAAGACCUCGAAGUCUAGCAAGAUAGGAAGCAAGUUGUUACUUAAGCAGGUUGGGGGGGCAUUAUGGGCACAAUGAAAAUUAAUCAUUGGUUCUCUUUGCCUAUCAAAAUACAUCGUUCACAUAGGACCCCUUUCCCCAAUAAAUUUAGAUCAUGCCUACUCUAGAAAAGGAAUCACAGCAUUGUCACUUCUUGAUGUUGUGAAGUAAUUUGUAAUGCGCAGAAAUGAUUUGAAUACAUGUCCCAACAGAGCUUUGUGAAGGAAACUCAAAGCUAUUCUGACAUAAUAGCAAAUGAUAGCAGAGAAGGGACUGAAGCACUGCAGCAAACCCAAAAUUGUUCCAAUAUUCAGCUGCUAGAACAAAAAAGAAAAGCCUCACUACUGAACCUUUUUCAUUUCGUAUAGCUGCUCAAAAUUUAGAAAACUCAUAGACCAUAAUCCAUUAAAACAGCAUCUAUUACAUCAAGUUCUAAUUGCUAAACUUGCUGGUAAAUCCUUGGGGUAAAGAGAUUGGAACUCUUCCAUUUUCAAUAAAGAUUAUUUGUAAAACUAAAAAAAAAUCCAUGAGACAAUCUGAUAGAUGUCUCAUUAUUCCUGAUCUGUGUUCUUUUUUAUUUCUUAGCCCUACCUCUACAACCGAUUAAAAUGCUUAGCCUAAAUACUUUCACCAUUUCAAAGAAACCACUACAAAAAGUGCUAUUUUUUGGCCGGGCGUGGUGGCUCACGCCUGUAAUCCCAGCACUUUGGGAGGCCAGGCGGGCGGAUCACGAGAUCAGGAGAUCGAGACCAUCCUAGCUAACACGGUGAAACCCUGUUUCUACUAAAAAAAUACAAAAACAUAAUUAGCCGGGCGUGGUGGCAGGUGCCUGUAGUCCCAGCUACUCGGGAGGCUGAGGCAGGAGAAUGGCGUGAACCCGGAAGGCGGAGCCUGCAGUGAGCCGAGCACGCCACUGCACUCCAGCCUGGGCGACAGAGCGAGACUGUCUCAAAAAAAAAAAAAAAAAAAAAAA